rnacentral:rRNA from 1 species
CGUAGGGCGCAAGCGUUAUCCGGAAUUAUUGGGCGUAAAGAGCUCGUAGGCGGUUUGUCGCGUCUGCUGUGAAAUCCCGAGGCUCAACCUCGGGUCUGCAGUGGGUACGGGCAGACUAGAGUGCGGUAGGGGAGAUUGGAAUUCCUGGUGUAGCGGUGGAAUGCGCAGAUAUCAGGAGGAACACCGAUGGCGAAGGCAGAUCUCUGGGCCGUAACUGACGCUGAGGAGCGAAAGGGUGGGGAGCAAACAGGCUUAGAUACCCUGGUAGUCCACCCUGUAAACGUUGGGAACUAGUUGUGGGGUCCUUUCCACGGAUUCCGUGACGCAGCUAACGCAUUAAGUUCCCCGCCUGGGGAGUACGGCCGCAAGGCUA